GCAUGGUUUGACUUACACUGUUUUUAAAGAUUGCUCUGGCUGCAAUGUGGGUCCUGGCUUCCCACACCAGGGCAUGCUGGUGCCAUUCACGGAGAUAAGAAAUACUGGAAGACCAGUGAAAUCAGGCUGAUCUGGACCUGAGUCACAGCUCCAUCAAAUGCUGGAUUAUUCAGGAGAACUUGUAUGAUCUCUUCAACCUUCUAGAUGAGCUCCAUUUGUUAAAAUUACAUUAAAUAAUAUAUAAA
ensembl:lncRNA novel transcript